rnacentral:tRNA from 1 species
GCCGGCGUAGCUUAGCUGGUUAUAGCGCCAGACUCAUAAUCCUUCUGAAAAAAUGGGUCAGACUGGAUGUAUUCUGGAGGUCGUGGGUUCAUAUCCCACCGCCGGCA